rnacentral:rRNA from 2 species
GACUCUCGGCAACGGAUAUCUCAGCUCUCGCAUCGAUGAAGAACGUAGCGAAAUGCGAUACCUGGUGUGAAUUGCAGAAUCCCGCGAACCAUCGAGUCUAUGAACGCAAGUUGCGCCCGAGGCCACUCGGUCGAGGGCACGCCUGCCUGGGCGUCA